UACGAAGGGGGCUAGCGUUGCUCGGAAUUACUGGGCGUAAAGCGCACGUAGGCGGAUUGUUAAGUCGGGGGGUGAAAUCCUGGAGCUCAACUCCAGAACUGCCUUUGAUACUGGCGAUCUCGAGUCCGGGAGAGGUGAGUGGAACUGCGAGUGUAGAGGUGAAAUUCGGUAGAUAUUCGCAAGAACACCAGUGGCGAAGGCGCUCACUGGCCCGGUACUGACGCUGAGGUGCGAAAGCG
rnacentral:rRNA from 1 species